UUUCCCCUUUCCCCUUUUCCCGGGACGUGGGGCCCUUGGGUCCCCCGUCCCCUUUGUCACGGAAUCGGGCCUAACGCCCGUAAACCGUUGACAUAGUGGGAAACAGAUUUUAGUCUGUUAUCUUUGAUUGUACAUGAUCCAUAUGUUAGAUGGUCGGUGAACUGACUUAUCUAUAGGCCUGCUGACACUUCACUGGGAAAUGGUUAACUUAGGCCCUCUGUCACCUACGUGUAACUGAAGGAGUCUUACCUUUUUCGUUAAGGUGUUGAGAUGAGGUUAAAGGACGUGUCAUAUCCAGUGAUAGUAGCACCAGCAUGGAUCCCUGGAAUGAAUGCUGUUCAACACGCUGACACAGAAUUGCUGGAAAAAGAGGGAUGUGUAUUAUUCCUACCAAAUUUGGCACCAGCUCCACUUCCCCGUUUCUGAACAAGAAUGCAUGACAGACCAUAUUAAAAAGACUUGAGCCAAUCAAACAGUCCAAUCCUAAAGGAUCCUGGGACAACCAGAAUUCCUGACCUUGGCUACAACUUUAACACAGGGAAGCCAUUCUGCUGUUUCAGUUAUGCUGCUGCUUGCUCCGUGGUUGAGAUGGAUUGCCUGACAGGUGACCACAAGAUGACGGGGUCAGCAGGGAAAUAGCCCCCUGUGUUUGAGUGAGGGAAACAUUCACAGGGAGUGAACACUGGGUGUCAGCCUGUCCCUAGCUCUGUCGUUGGUCCAAUGUGACCUUCAGUCCAUCUCCUAGUUAUGGGACUUGCUUCUGUGAGAGAUGGCAGCACUGUGUUAGCACAAAAGAACAUCAAUAUAUCAGAAUUGAGGUAAUAAUUAAAAAUAGCACGGAAUCUUUUGGAAAGGAUAAAGAAGUAAGAUGAUUCAUUAGAAUCUGACCUAGUGCCCUAAUGGGUUAUGCUCAAGUACAGAGCACUGCCCCUGGCAGUUUGGAACCAGCACAGAUUGGGUCCAUUCAAUCUCCAGGGGAAGCUGUAGUGAGUUAUUUUGUUUUACUUUAGGGGUGAACUCAUUUUAAAAGAUAGCAGGAAGAAUUGAGUUUUGAGUUACUGAAUGCCGGCCAAGUGUGGGUAGUGGUGGAUAGAUAUAAUACUCCUCCUUAUAUGAAACCACAGUGCACUAGUUUCAUCAUCUUUGCUGAUUUACUCUUUAUUUCUGUCUCUCAGAACAUUCAUGCAUUGUUUUGGAUGCUGGCACAGUCUGAACCCUGCCAUAGAUAUAGGACUUGCUCCUGUUUAAGGGAGCGUAUAAACAGGAGGGGGAACGAUUGUUCACGAGGGUGGAUAGCGAUAGGACAAGGGGGAA